GAAAUAUAAAAUAUUAAGCUUCUAACUUAAUUCAUAGCGGUAACGUUAAUAUUUCU
rnacentral:tRNA from 1 species